AAUGAACGUUGGCGGCAUGGAUUAGGCAUGCAAGUCGAGCGAGAAGAGUUUUGAAGCUUGCUUUAGAACUCGGACAGCGGCGAAAGGGAGAGUAACGCGUAGUUAUGUGCCCUAGGGUCCGGAAUAGCCACGGGAAACUGUGGGUAAUGCCGGAUAAUAUCCCCGGAUCAAAGGUGUGAUUCCGCCCUAGGAGCAGACUGCGUCCUACUAGCUAGUUGGUGGGGUAAUGGCCCACCAAGGCAAUGAUGGGUAGCGGGUGUGAGAGCAUGACCCGUCUCACUGGGACUGAGACACUGCCCAGACACCUACGGGUGGCUGCAGUCGAGAACCUUCGGCAAUGGGCGAAAGCCUGACCGAGCGAUGCCGCGUGCGGGAUGAAGGCCCUCGGGUUGUAAACCGCUGUCGUAGGGGAGGAAGGUUCCGUGAAGAGCGGGACUUGACCUAUCCUAGGAGGAAGUACGGGCUAAGUUCGUGCCAGCAGCCGCGGUAAUAC
rnacentral:rRNA from 1 species